GACGAACGCUGGCGGCGUGCUUAACACAUGCAAGUCGAACGGCAAGGCCCUGCUUUUUUGGGGUGCUCGAGUGGCGAACGGUUGAGUAACACGUGAGUAACCUGCCCUUGACUUUGGGUUAACUUCAGGAAACUGGGGCUAAUACCGGAUAGGCGCUCCUGCUGCAUGGUUGGGGUUGGUAUGUUUCCGCGGCUGGGGAUGGACUCGCGGCUUAUCAGCUUGUUGGUGGAGUGGUGGCUUACCAAGGCUUUGGCGGGUAGCCGGCAUGAGAGGGUGACCGGCGAGGUUGGGACUGAGGUUGGGCCCAGACUCCGUCGGGAGGGAGCAGGAGGGAAGAUUGCCCACUGGGCGGACACCCGACGCCGCAACGCCGCGUGCGGGAUGACGGCCUUCGGGUUGUAACCCGCCUUCGCCUGUGACGAAGCGUGAGUGACGGCAAUGGGUAACGAGACACCGGAUAACUACGUG
rnacentral:rRNA from 1 species